CACUCCCUCCUCUCCCCGCCCAAUUGUCCUUCCAACUUCCAAGCACAUAUCUCGCCAUUGUGGUUGUUCUAUCACUUUACCAAUAAAUUCUUUGAUCACUGUGAAAAGAUGCUUUCCAUAACGCAGGUAGUAACCAUGCAUCACCAUGGAUGGAUGAUUGCUUGGAUUCUUCGCACUCAAGAGACGCUACUGAGAAGAGAAGAUAAAAAGAUCAGAGAGAAGGGUUUCGAUUAUCCGACCUUCAAGUUUCUUUCUUCCAAAAUACAGCCAUUUCAAAAAUUCAUUCCCAAAACUGAUUCUACAUUAAAAUUGUACCGCUACUUGGAUGGCGUGCCGCGGUAUAUGAAUAUGUGAUGGUUUCAACCUUUUUUAGUCUCUGUUCAUGGUUAAUAAUCACCACCAGUAGUAUUUGUUAAUUUAUUUGAAGCCAAAAUGGACUUUGUUAGUUACAACUUGCACAUCUCCGUUAAAUAUGUAAUUUAUGUUUUGUAUUUUUUGUUUUUGUCUUUAAUUAUUUGUACAAAAGGACUUUGAGGUUUUGAUCA